ACAUCUGUGCAAACCCAUAAAACACACAACUCCAAGAGUGAACCCUAACAUAAACUAUGAACUGGGUGAGGAUGACGUGUCCAUGUAGGCUCAUCAGUUGUAAAAAAGUGCCACUCUGAUAAGGGACACUGAUAAGGAGGGAAGCGAUGCAAGUGGGGUUACUUAGGGGAUAUAUGGGAACUUUGCACUUUCUGCUCAACUUUGUUAUGAAUUAAAACUGCUCUA
rnacentral:lncRNA from 1 species